rnacentral:rRNA from 1 species
AUUGAACGCUGGCGGCAGGCCUAACACAUGCAAGUCGAGCGGAGCGGCGGACGGGUGAGUAAUGCAUAGGAAUCUGCCUGGUAGUGGGGGAUAACGUCCGGAAACGGGCGCUAAUACCGCAUACUAUCAGAUGAGCCUAGGUCGGAUUAGCUAGUUGGUGUGGUAAAGGCCAACCAAGGCGAAGAUCAGUAACUGGUGUGAGAGGAUGAUCAGUCAAACUGGAACGGAGACACGGUCCAGGCUCCUACGGUACGCAGCAGUGGGGAAUAUUGGACAAUGGGCGAAAGCCUGAUCCAGCCAUGCCGAGUGUGUGAAGAAGGUCUUCGGAUUGUAAAGCACUUUAAGUUGUGAGGCGUUACCAACAGAAUAAGCAACGGCUAACUUCGUGCCAGCAGCCGCGGUAAUAC